UCAUCAUAUAAUAGAACGGGAGAAUGUGGAGCUCCAUGUCUGCCGUCUUGCCGUCAACUCCUUAACCUGAAAAGAAUCAUAAAUAAUAGGGUAUGAGUGUGCAAGCACACUCAGUGGGGUAAACACUGCAAGCAGUUAUAACCAAUUGUGUAAUGAAUCAUAACAUGUUGAACUCUUAUAAUUUUUCACUUAGCUGACAUCUUGUGAGACUAGUCUCGGUCCCUUGUGGACCUGACCCCUUGUGGGCCGUUCAGCUCUUUGAUCCCUUGUGGAUCCGACCCCUUGUGGGUCCCAUUAGUUCAUAUGAAUGACGCACAACACAACAAUGAUUAUAACCAUGUAACAACUACGCUUACAGAUAAAAGUAAACCCCACCUUAAGUGAUUGAAUUCAAACCUCUUCAAGCUUGCUUCGGUUGUCCUCCUCGAGCUUUGGAUGCGCCGCUCCUAGCACUUGAAACACUUUAAACUUAGUUUCAUUACAAGCACUUAUUUUUUAAUAAGCUCUCAUUUCUUUAAACAAUAUUUUUAAUCUCUCUUGAAUAUAUUCUUGAAAAUUCUACAAUACACUUGAAGCCGAAGAUCAUAUUUGAACAUUUUAUGAAUCUACAAAUUAUAAAUCCAUAGUUCAAUUACUAGUAUAAAUUAUACUAAUCUAACUUCAUUAUAAUCAUAUAAUUUAAUUAUAUAAUAUACUAAGUUUAGAUCACCAUAAUCCUUAUAACUUAUUUCAAUUCUUGGCUAAUGAUAUUAAAAGCAAAUGUCUUGAUUAUCUAUUUGUGUAUUCAAGGUGAAACAAUCAUCAAAAAUCUAAUUCAAAUGCCCAAAUAAAAAUUAAAAUAAGCAUAACAUAUUAAAUUAAACUCAUAUUCGACACGUAAGGAGCUACAUCUCGACGUCUAUUCCGGCCAAUUCGACCUUAGAUCUCAAGAAGAAAACCUAUGAUUAGAACGUCUACGACAUGAGCUACAAAACCCCUAAACUUAUUCUCCCUCACGGCGUCGAUUUGACGCCGGAAAGUAGUCUCAAACUCGCGCGGAGACAAUCCCGCACAGACCCGACACCCUGACUUGAUUGGCUCAUAACUCCCUCGUCCGGUGUCGGAUUGACGAUCCGAAGGUACCGUUGGAAAGCCAACGACGAUAGCUUUCCAAUGGUACCUAUAUUGAUGGGGUUUGAUGACAGAAAACAGAUGAAAACGGAUCGCAAGAUACAAUCCUGCUGCUGUCAAAAACAGGGGAAAAUAAAGCACAGAAAAACACAUGCCGGCAGCCACCACGCCGCCGGAACCACUGUUCCGGUAAUCCCUCCUCCUCACUCCCACACAAGAGACUCCAUCCCACCAAUAUCUACUCAAGACCUUUAGCCAUCGAUUAAGAAGAACAAGAAUGGAAGAGAAGUGAUAAACCCUUUCAAAUUCAACAAUCAAAAUUGAGAAAAAAACAAGUAAUGGAUUAGAAGAAAUUACCUUAAUUAGCUGCUGGAAAUUAAAUGAGAGAAUGAGUGAAGAGUGGUGAUAUGCAAGGAAUGAGAGAGUGAGAGAUUGGGAGAGAUAUGAGUGUAGGAAAAAAAAAUAGACUCCUUCAUGUAUAUAUAAUACAAAAACUAACACUAGAAAAAUCUAGAUAUUUACAUCUUUAUUACUACUUUAUACAAAAUAUCUUAGAUAUUUCUUAUCAAUAGCAAUUCUAGAAUAUUCAAGUUUAUUCAUUAAUAUUAUAUUAUUUAUUACAAAAAUCCUUAAUAUUUUAAUAUUAAAUCAAUUCUAGAAUAUUCCAUUUACUUAUUCUUUAAGAUUUAUUCAUACGUAAAUUUAAAUUUUGCUAGGGGCGAAUCCUCGCUCUAAGUCGGACAACCUGUACAACAUUUUAAAAAAAUCAAAUCCGUUAGUUUUAAUAACGUCAUAAAAUAUUUAAUUUAAACAUAAACAUCUCUAAUAUAUUGUAAUUAAAUUAUAAAUAAAUUAAAAAAGGUUCGGGGUAUUACNACUUAUUCUUGAUAAGCUCUCAUUCUUUAAACUAAUAUUUUUAAUCUCUCUUGAAUAUAUCUUGAUAAUUCUACAAUACACUUGAAGCCGAAGACCAUUAUUGAACAUUUUAUGAAUCUACACAUUAUAAAUUCAUAGUUUCAAUUACUAGUAUAAAUUAUACUAAUCAAACUUCAUUAUAAUCAUAUAAUUUAAUUAUAUAAUAUACCAAGUUUAGAUCACCAUAAUCUUUAUAAUUUAUUUCAAUUCUUGGCUAAUAAUAUUAAAAGCAAAUGUCUUGAUUAUCUAUUUAUGUGUUCAAGGUGAAACAAUCAUCAAAAUCUAAUUCAAAUUCCCAAAUAAAAAUUAAAAUAAGCAUAACAUAUUAAAACUCAUAUUCGACACAUAUGGAGCUACAUCUCGACGUCUAUUCUGGCCAAUUCGACCUUAGAUCUCAAGAAGAAAACCUAUGAUUAGAACGUCUACGACAUGAGCUACAAAACCCCUAAACUUAUUCUCCCUCACGGCAUCGAUUUGACGCCGGAAGGUCGACUCAAACUCGCGCGGAAACCUUCGCGCACAGACCCGACACCCUGACUUGAUUGGCUCAUAACUCCCUCGUCCGGUGUCGGAUUGAUGAUCCGAAGGUACCGUUGGAAAGCCAACGACGAUAGCUUUCCAAUGGUACCUAUAUUGAUGGGGUUUGAUGACAGAAAACAGAUGAAAAACGGAUCGCAAGAUACGACCCUGCUGCUGUCAAAAACAGGGGAAAAUAAAAAACACAGCAACAGACAUGCCGGCAGCCACCACGCCGCCGGAACUACUGUUCCGGUAAUCCCUCCUCCUCACUCACACACAACAGACUCCAUCCCACCAAUAUCUACUCAAGACCUUUAGCCAUCGAUUAAGAAGAACAAGAAUGGAAGAGAAGUGAUAAACCCUUUCAAAUUUAACAAUCAAAAUUGAGAAAAAAAAACAAGUAAUGGAUUAGAAGAAAUUACCUUAAUUAGCUGCUGGAAAUUAAAUGAGAGAAUGAGUGAAGAGUGGUGAUAUGCAAGGAAUGAGAGAGUGAGAGAUUGGAGAGAUAUGAAUGUAG
rnacentral:lncRNA from 1 species